AUGGAGGAUCGAUCGUCCCGUUUCAAAUAGGGAGCAUGAAAUAUUAUUAGUACCAGCUGUUAACCUGAUCGGCUUCUCGUCUUAUGUUUCGGGGCCCACUCCAAUUUGCCAAAUAGUUUGGGAAAUACUGCUCAAAUAGUUAAGCUCCUUAUGCAGGUUACGUAAAACUACCCAACUAUGGUCCAAUACUGCAACUAUAGUCCCCAAGUUCAAAAGGAAAUCCUCCUAGUUUUACCUUCCAUUUAUAAACAUACUUUGCCGUAGAACUACAAAAAUAUAGUAAAAUACACACCUGAACGAGAAAAAUUGAGUUUAUUUGUGGACCAUAGUUGGGAGCUUUGGACUAUAGUUGGGUGGUUUUACGGUACUUUUUUUCUAGGAAUAUAUCACUUUUUUCCCGGGAAUAUAUUACAAUAGAAUCCGCAUAUAAUGGCGUCGAAGGAAAGUGACAAAUACAUCAUACUAAGCGGAUGGCAUUUAAACCGUAUUUGUUAAACUUCUUAACUAUGUAUGUAUGUAUGUUAACACUUUAUUGUACAUAAGGGACAGGUAAAGAUACAAUAAAAGGAAAAAAAUAAUAAUGUUGUCAAUGUACAAAGGCGAACUUAUCCCUAUAAGGGAUCUCUUCCAGUCAACCUUUGAGCAAUUGAGAGUCAAAAGUAAAACAUAAACACUAUGUA